CCUACGGGUGGCUGCAGUAGGGAAUCUUCCACAAUGGACGAAAGUCUGAUGGAGCAACGCCGCGUGUGUGAUGAAGGGUUUCGGCUCGUAAAACACUGUUGUAAGAGAAGAAUGACAUUGAGAGUAACUGUUCAGUGUGUGACGGUAUCUUACCAGAAAGGAACGGCUAAAUACGUGCCAGCAGCCGCGGUAAUACGUAUGUUCCAAGCGUUAUCCGGAUUUAUUGGGCGUAAAGCGAGCGCAGACGGUUAUUUAAGUCCGAAGUGAAAGCCCACAGCUUAACUGUGGAAGUGCUUUGGAAACUGGAUAACUUGAGUGCAGUAGAGGAGAGUGGAACUCCAUGUGUAGCGGUGAAAUGCGUAGAUAUAUGGAAGAACACCAGUGGCGAAGGCGGCUCUCUGGACUGUAACUGACGUUGAGGCUCGAAAGUGUGGGUAGCAAACAGGAUUAGAUACCCUAGUAGUC
rnacentral:rRNA from 1 species